AGACUUGAAGCCACACAGAUUGUGCACUCGCCGGAGCAGCGGCCCACCAGCCCCCGGCUCCGGCGCCACCAUCUUCGCGCUAAGCUCUGGCCAAGGCCGCUGCGGCAUCGCGGUGAUCCGGACCAGCGGCUCCGCCAGCGGCCACGCCCUCCGAAUUCUCACGGCACCCCGAGACCUGCCCCCUGCUCGCCACGCCAGCGUGCGCCUCCUCAGAGACCCCCGCUCCGGGGAGCCUCUGGACCGCGCACUGGUACUCUGGUUCCCAGGUCCCCAGAGUUUCACUGGUGAGGACUGCGUGGAGUUCCACGUGCAUGGAGGCCCGGCAGUGGUGAGCGGCGUCCUGCAGGCCUUGGGCAGCGUGCCAGGGCUUCGACCGGCGGAGGCAGGCGAGUUCACCAGGCGGGCGUUCGCCAAUGGGAAGCUGAACCUGACCGAAGUGGAGGGGCUGGCGGACCUUAUCCACGCAGAAACCGAGGCGCAGCGGCGGCAGGCCCUCAGGCAGCUGGACGGGGAGCUGGGCCACCUCUGCCGUGGCUGGGCCGAGACCCUCACCAA
rnacentral:sRNA from 1 species